AGAGUUUGAUCAUGGCUCAGGAUGAACGCUAGCGGGAGGCCUAACACAUGCAAGCCGAGCGGUAGAUUACUUUCGGGUAAUUGAGAGCGGCGUACGGGUGCGGAACACGUGUGCAACCUGCCUUUAUCAGGGGGAUAGCCUUUCGAAAGGAAGAUUAAUACCCCAUAAUAUACUAUUCGGCAUCGGGUGAUAUUGAAAACUGCGGUGGAUAGAGAUGGGCACGCGCAAGAUUAGCUAGUUGGUGAGGUAACGGCUCACCAAGGCGACGAUCUUUAGGGGGCCUGAGAGGGUGAUCCCCCACACUGGUACUGAGACACGGACCAGACUCCUACGGGAGGCAGCAGUGAGGAAUAUUGGACAAUGGGUGGAAGCCUGAUCCAGCCAUCCCGCGUGCAGGAAGACGGCCCUAUGGGUUGUAAACUGCUUUUAUCUGGGGAUAAACCUACUUACGUGUAAGUAGCUGAAGGUACCAGAAGAAUAAGCACCGGCUAACUCCGUGCCAGCAGCCGCGGUAAUACGGAGGGUGCAAGCGUUAUCCGGAUUUAUUGGGUUUAAAGGGUCCGUAGGCGGACUGAUAAGUCAGUGGUGAAAUCCGACAGCUUAACUGUCGAACUGCCAUUGAUACUGUUAGUCUUGAGUAAGGUUGAAGUGGCUGGAAUAAGUAGUGUAGCGGUGAAAUGCAU
rnacentral:rRNA from 1 species